CUUUAGCAGUGGUUCAGCUGAAUGAACGGGACGGUUUUUCUGUGCUGAGGUGGAUGUAGUGUCACGAAUCCGGGCGCCCAGUGCUUGUGGACGGGCCUCUGGUUGCAGCAGCUGGGAAGUGUGAGGAGGGAGACUGAAAACAGCAAGCAUGGAGGCAGAUAUCACAGAUCUUUGAAACAAACUCAAAGAGUGUGAAAAGGAGCGACUGAAAGAUGCACAGUAUGGCUUGCAGCUAUUGGAGAGGCAAACUGAACUGCAGAAUCAAUUGGAUAAAUGUCACGAGGAAAUGAUGACCAUGACUGAGAAUUAUAACCAAGAGAAGUAUGCCCUACAAAGAGAAGUUGAGCUCAAGAGUCGGGUGUUGGACAGUUUGAGCUGUGAAUGUGAAACUGUGAAACAGCAACAGAAAAUGCAGCUGGAGCAGCUGGAAAUGCAGCUAAACAGAAGCCACAGGCAGGAAGUGAACGGCCUGAAAAACAAGAAUCCUUGAGCUCAAUCCGAUUGUCGGAGAUGAAGAUGGAAACAUACUGGACCCUGAUAACACCAGCAUCAUCAGCUUGUUCCAUGCGCAUGAGGAGGCUACUGAAAAGAUCACAGAGCGCAUCAAAGAAGAAAUGGUGAGCUUCGUUCUGGAGGCUUUGGCCAAGCAAAGCUGGCCUUUAGCACAUCCUAAACUUAAAAUAUAAUAGGCCAGUGGACUGCACUGUGUCAUUCAGAGGGCCAUCAGUCCUACAACCUGAGAUGAUCAGCAAUAAUGCAGGCUUUACUAAGUUUGUGUACUUAGAUCUGUAAGUCAUCAGACAUGCAUCCCACAAGUAGUUAAAUGCCAGGCAUGUUUCCCAGUCUUGGAGCUUUUAGGUUCUAGAGUAAAGAAGAGAAGAUAGCAAAAUGUAAAUUAAUUAGUAGCUAAUGAUAAAUACAAUAAAGUAGACACUGAGUCAGGGGUUGCUCUAAGAGGUUUGGGCAGGAAAGGUCUCUUGGAGGAGUGAAAGAAUAAUGUGGAAGCCACCAGUACUGAGUCUCUUGGUGAUGGUUGCCUUUGUAGUUCCUGUUCAAAUAUUCAAAUUUUUUAUUUUCUGAAUUGCCCGUUUGGAUUUUAUCGAUUCUACUUUCAUUAUCAGUUCUUGAACAGUUUUAUACAUUUCCUUACACUCUUUGUGUUUUCUUGGAUUUUUUAAAGGAAUUUAUUCAUAUCUUUACAUGGUGUGUGCAUUUUCCUUGAUUUCUUUUUUUUUUUCCUUCUUACCUUUAUUUAUUUUAUGGAUGAGUGCUCUAACUGCACGUAUGCAUUUAUGCCAGAAGAGGGUGUCAGAUCUCCCUAGAGAUGGCUGUGAGCCACCAUGUGGUUGCUGCGAAUUGAACUCAGAACAUCUGAAAGAGCAGCCAGUGUUCUUAACCGCUGAGCCUUCUCUCCAGUCCCUUCCUUGAAUACUUAAUGAGAUUUUUCUCAUUUCUUUUUUAAGUGCUUCUAUGAUCUUCAUACCUGUUGUAUUAAAGUCUUUUCCUUGUGCUUCUGGUAGGUUGGAAUAUUCAGGGCCUACUGUGUAACAGUGAUUGGGUUCCAGUGGAGACAUUGUCCUGGCUGUUAGUGACUGUGUUUUUAUGCCAAUGUCCAGGCAUAUGGGAUUGGGAAGAUUACAGGUCUGUGUGAUGAUAUCUGGUUGUGUCUCUGUGGGGUGAGGGGUUUGUUCCUUGGUUUCUGAUCCUCCCUGAUCUGUGUGGUGGCUGUGUGCUGUAUGUUAGGAAAUUUUCUGUGGCCUGGUUUCCUUUUCCUGCUCAACUGAUGUGUUUCCAGGUUAUGCUUGCUAGUGUUGGAAGCUGAGAUACUCAGUUUAGUUGUGGGAAGGUUGGAGGAGAGCUUUGUGAUCUGUUGGGAAUGGCAUGAGAGAGGAAAGGGAGAUCACAAACUAUAGUAGACUUAGGUGGGCAUGAGACUUGGCCGAAUGGGAUCUGAGAAUCAGAAGUAGAGAGGUGGGCCUGCCAUCAGCCUACUGGUUACUCUGGCAGGAGGAGCCUUUGUGUUAACCAAAAUAAACAUUUCAGGAUCAACCAUGGUUGUAGAUAACCUUAUAUUUAUUGAAACCUAUAAACACAAUCUUAGGGAAAGACGUGCAAUAAAACUGAGGACUAAGGGCUUUUAGAUCUGUGGUAAAAGAGCUGUUACUGCGGGUGCUGUUGUAGAUACUGUUGUUGUUGCUGUGGCUAUUGGUGCAGUUCCUUCUGUUGUUGCUGUUGGUUGCUGCGGCUGCUGCUAUUGCUGUUGCUGCUGAUUGGUUGCUGAUUCUGUUGUUGCUGAUGUUACUG